rnacentral:rRNA from 1 species
AACGAACGCUGGCGGCAUGCCUAACACAUGCAAGUCGAACGAGACCUUCGGGUCUAGUGGCGCACGGGUGCGUAACGCGUGGGAACCUGCCCUUAGGUUCGGAAUAACUCCCCGAAAGGGGUGCUAAUACCGGCUAAUGUCUUCGGACCAAAGAUUUAUCGCCUUUGGAUGGGCCCGCGUUGGAUUAGCUAGUUGGUAGGGUAAAAGCCUACCAAGGCGACGACCCAUAGCUGGUCUGAGAGGAUGAUCAGCCACACUGGGACUGAGACACGGCCCAGACGCCUACGGGAGGCAGCAGUGGGGAAUAUUGGACAAUGGGCGAAAGCCUGAUCCAGCAAUGCCGCGUGAGUGAUGAAGGCCUUAGGGUUGUAAAGCUCUUUUACCCGGGAUGAUAAUGACAUUACCGGGAGAAUAAGCUCCGGCUAACUCCGUG